ensembl:lncRNA
AUGGGAGGAAGCUGGAGACCCCGGAGAAAACCCAUGCAUGCACAGGGAGAACAUGACAACUCCACACAGAAAGGUCCCCCAAUGGCGUUCUGUUUCAGGUCCCCCAGUUGGGACUUGAACCACGGGCCUUCUUGCAGUGAGGUAAGAGCGCAAACCACUGCGCCACAGUGCAGCCCCAGAAUACAAAACAUGCAUGCUAGUGUUGAACCUUUCCUGCAAUUACAUUUCUGAUCGCAGGGGAGAUCCUCUCCAGGGCCGACAGCGGAACUUCCUUCAGGGUUCAAUUCCCCGUUCGGACCCUUAGAGCCUCUGGAACGGGUUAAUAAUAGAACCAGUCUCUGUUUUUUGGAGGAAAACCUAUUUUUUAAAUGACUGUUCUCCCUGAGAAACACAAACUGAAUGAGCGCUAACACACUCACUUGGCUGAGUGUCUUCCUCCUCCUUUUGCAAACGCGGGAGCGCGGCACGCGGCAACUCAGCACACAAACAUUUCAGAACACACACACACACUCACUGUAGAAAAAAGCAGCGGGAGAAAAACUGCGUUGGUUCUCAUGCCGUCUUCUACUACUCCUCUGCCGAAGUCCCACAACUACACGUUAGGCGCACCGUCUCAUUGGGCGCCCCCUACAGUUUGGAAUAAAUGUAAGACUUUUAGUCGUGAAAAUACGGUACUUCUGACUUUAGGUGGCAAACCAGCCAAAAAAGAAAUCACACAAGAAGUUGAAACAUUUCAGAGGAAAGUGCUAAAAAAUUUUGAAGAUCACAAAAAAAACCUCUAAAAUCAGUUGCAGAAAUAUAUUUUCAUCUUAAAGCAGUUUUAACCUUUUAACGUCAGAGCUUUGGUUCAUGUGUUGACAGCCUUUGACCGUAAGUCUUUGACUGUUAACGCAAUUAGUGUAAUCCCAGAGUCUUCUGAAGCUGAGAAAAGCGGCAAAGUGUUUACUUAAGAAAUGUAACCCAAGUAAUUCUGACAUAAAGAAACAGCUUGUGCAAAGCCGGUUUUCUUGGCUUUAGAGUGUUUUGGAGUGUCAUUUUAUAAAGAUAGAAGAUGUAUGGUAGUUCAAAGAGAAUGCUUUAUUUGCUUUCACUGGUGACAAGUCCAAUAUUAAAGGGUUACGCCAAAGAAUGCAGAUCAAUCACUAAAUCAAUAGAAAAUGCCCGUUUAAAUGUUUGAAGCUCCACCUAGUGUCUAAACUAAGAAUUGCAUCAAAAUGAACCCCACAGUGCAGUCAGUGUAUGACAUCAUGAACAUCAGGGCAGAGCCAGAACUAAAAUGGAUUUGGGCCAAAGUUUGGAGCUGGCUAAGUCUAUUAAGCUCACAGAUGCAGUUUUGAUGCUAAACCUUGUACAUUGCCUCAAUAUUUAUGUAAAGUAAGAGUUUUGAUAAAUGAGCCUCAUUUUCUUUUGUGCUGUUGCUGCACCACCCACCACCAUCCUCUCCAUCUUGUGCAGCCUGCUGUCAUUAAAGUCCGUCUGAUGCUGAAGCGUUUCCUCCCCGGAACCGCUGGAGUCGGUGCUUAAUUGAGCCCCCAGACAUCGAGAGGCUGCCAAGCCCCCCCC